rnacentral:rRNA from 1 species
GAGCGAAGCGCGCCCCGGAAUCCUUCGGGAGGAAGGGUCGCGACUGAGCGGCGGACGGGUGAGUAACGCGUGGGCAACCUGCCCCAUACAGGGGGACAACGGCCGGAAACGGCCGCUAAUACCGCAUGAUUCCUCUUGGCCGCAUGGCCGGGAGGGGAAAGCCGAGACGGUAUGGGAUGGACCCGCGUCUGAUUAGCUGGUUGGCGAGGUAACGGCUCACCAAGGCGACGAUCAGUAGCCGGCCUGAGAGGGCGACCGGCCACAUUGGGACUGAGACACGGCCCAAACUCCUACGGGAGGCAGCAGUGGGGAAUAUUGCACAAUGGGGGAAACCCUGAUGCAGCGACGCCGCGUGAAGGACGAAGUAUUUCGGUACGUAAACUUCUAUCAGCAGGGAAGAAAAUGACGGUACCUGACCAAGAAGCCCCGGCUAACUACGUGCCAGCAGCCGCGGUAAUACGUAGGGGGCAAGCGUUAUCCGGAUUUACUGGGUGUAAAGGGAGCGUAGACGGCCAUGCUAGUCUGAUGUGAAAACCCGGGGCUCAACCCCGGGACUGCAUUGGAAACUGUGCGGCUGGAGUGUCGGAGAGGCAAGUGGAAUUCCUAGUGUAGCGGUGAAAUGCGUAGAUAUU